UGUGCCCCCGUAAUUUCGGGCAGGCAUUUAACGGCAUCUUAAGGCUCAUUGCAUUGAACAUUGCCUUUGAUGUCAAUGGGCUUGAUUUUUGGAGCCUCUGCUUGUGUGGAUGCGACUUGCGUCGCUGCCACUUGGGCGGCCAACUGCUCUAUGACUUGGGGCAAUUCCUGUUCUUUGCCGACCCUGUCCGCCAGGGCAUGGUUAACCGCGGCCUGAAUUAUAGCUUUAAGCUGAUCUGAGUACAUAAUUUCUACUGUAGGGUUAGCGGGUGCCCGUAUUGGGGUAGAAGUACGCGGGGGCCCUUCACUAUCAGACUCUGAGUCACUAGCGUAUGGUUUGUUUUUUCCUAUACUGAUGGAAUGGAGAGCUCAUAUGUAGCCAAGUUAAAUCUUGUAAAUAAAUGCUUGCUCAAGCUAUUCUGCCCAUGAAGGCAAUUGGCAUGGCAAAGGGUAUGCGGGGACGGAGCCGCCUUUAGCAACAAAGUAUUUGAGCUCGUCGAACAGAGCUGCUGCCCUGUCAAGCAGCGAUAGGGCCAGGGGUAUGCGGGGACUGAGCCUCCGCUACGAAAAACAAAGAAGUGAAGAACAACAAUUUGCCACACAAAUACACAUGGAGCCGUAUCGGCUUUGCAGCAAUGGAGUGGGGGCAAUGAAUUAUGUACUGCGAGGCAAAUACUAAGAAUUUAGGGUCUAAGCAAAAAGACACAACGAAUAAUAUAAAUGAAUUCACAAUUUAUGAAUAUCCAAAGGGCAGAAUUAAACGCCGAUGUUUAGUGAAAAAUAAUUUUAAAUAAAUUCACGUCUAUUUUUUUUUUUCACCGGCGGCCUUACGCUCAGGCCGAUAUAUCUAAUAUUCGUACUUAUUUGUGGCAAUAAAAUAAAAUGCAAACAAUACACAGACAGCCAUAACAACGUAAAACAAAUAUUAUUAUCGCACAUAUAAGUCACCAAAUGUAUACACGAAUACACGAUGCCCCUUGCAAUAAAGCCUUUUACGGCUGAUGGCAGGUUGCAAACACGAUCCUUGCAAACACCUUUUUUUUAUGCAUCAGGUCGAUCCCAACCCUUAAGGAAACCUGGGUAACGCUUAAUCUUGACGCCAUGUGGUACGUUGGCGAUGUGGUUUGACCGCAUGGUUGCCGGCGUUGAGGAGUCGAAACGUCGUGAACGUGGUGAGAUAUCGCACCUGGUUGCCGGCGUUGAGGAGUCGAAACGUCGUGAACGUGGUGAGAUAUCGCACCUGAUCGGGACUAAGGACGACUCAGUACUGGUAAGACUAAGAAUCUCUUCACGGCGAUCGCCCUCGCACUGAUUUGAAUGAAAAAGUAUAAAACUAAUCGUUCUGGCACCAAGGGGGUGCUUUUGGCACGCCUGCCUUAUAAGGUGAUUGCGCUGGCUGUAUAGAAUUAUAUAGGAAUUUGUUCAACGAUCCAUCGGAAGCAUAUAAAAUUGGCUUUGAAAACACAAAACACGCUUCUAGUGGCUGAUGUGGCCCUCACAGGAGCACCAAAGGACAGCUGAGGACAGACGUAAACUGUCGUUUCUGACUUACUUCUUAAGGUGGGAGUUCUGACGAAAUAACAGGGAGAGUUUAGCGGAAUUCCCGCUACUUGCAACUUCGAACUUCAGUGGUGGGUUUUGGAGAGAGGGCGGGCAAGUUGAAGAUUGGGACCUAUUCAAACAGAUUGAUGGAAUUGGUUUUUGUCGUCUUGUUGCAAGAAAUAUAAGUUGAUUUAGCACAAAAUAUGGCAAGCUGUGGCUGUGGUGAGGACUAGAGCUGAUGAUUCACCGGAAACCUGACAUGACAAGAGUAGCCCAUGGGAACGGCCUGACCGCUCGCUGGAAGAACUUAAAACGCUAGUGGAGAGGAAGAGUGAUUAUUCUAAACUGGACGGCAGAGCAGAACGGAACGCACAUCGAGAAAUACCUAAAAUUAAAUAUUGACAGAAACCCAAAUAUUAAUUCCCUUGAAAAGAUUAACGCAUUUAAAACUAACUCCAACAAAUUGAAUUUACCUGUACGCAUCCGGAUGAAAAGGAUUAUCAUCAGGUGACUCCUUAAUAGGUCACCUUAACUGGAGCCAAGCACAAAAUAAUAAGAAAAAUUGAAGAAAAAAGUGCAAAA